CGCCCUUGCUUCCUUCUUUCAGCUACCUUCUGGGUGAGGAACUCUGGCUGGUUAUGGAGUACAUGGACGGAGGUGCUCUGAGCGACAUCAUCAGCAAGAGCUACCUGUCUGAGGAUGAGAUGGCAGCCAUCAGUCGGGAGUGCCUGCAAGGACUGGAUUUUCUUCACUCAAACUACGUGAUCCACCGAGAUGUGAAGAGUGAAAACAUCCUUCUCAGAACCGAUGGCUCUGUCAAGCUGGCUGAUUUUGGCCUCUCUACUCAGCUCACCCCUGAGCAGAGUAGACAGUGCUCAGUAGCUGGGACUCCUUGGUGGAUGGCACCUGAAGUGGUGACGCGUCAACCAUAUGGCCCCAAAGUGGACAUAUGGUCUUUUGGUAUUGUGGGAAUUGAAAUGGUAGAACAAGAACUUCCUUACAGCAACCAAAGUCCAGC